UGGGGAAUAUUGGACAAUGGGGGCAACCCUGAUCCAGCAAUGCCGCGUGUGUGAAGAAGGUCUUCGGAUUGUAAAGCACUUUCGACGGGGACGAUGAUGACGGUACCCGUAGAAGAAGCCCCGGCUAACUUCGUGCCAGCAGCCGCGGUAAUACGAAGGGGGCUAGCGUUGCUCGGAAUGACUGGGCGUAAAGGGCGUGUAGGCGGUUUACACAGUCAGAUGUGAAAUCCCCGGGCUUAACCUGGGAGCUGCAUUUGAUACGUGUAGACUAGAGUGUGAGAGAGGGUUUGUGGAAUUCCCAGUGUAGAGGUGAAAUUCGUAGAUAUUGGGAAGAACACCGGUGGCGAAGGCGGCAACCUGGCUCAUGACUGACGCUGAGGCGCGAAAGCGUGGGGAGCAAACAGGAUUAGAUACCCUGGUAGUCCACGCUGUAAACGAUGUGUGCUAGAUGUUGGGUAACUUUGUUAUUCAGUGUCGCAGUUAACGCG
rnacentral:rRNA from 1 species